rnacentral:rRNA from 1 species
AUUGAACGCUGGCGGCAUGCCUUACACAUGCAAGUCGAACGGUAACAGGCCGCAAGGUGCUGACGAGUGGCGAACGGGUGAGUAAUGCAUCGGAACGUGCCCAGUUGUGGGGGAUAACUGCUCGAAAGAGCAGCUAAUACCGCAUACGACCUGAAGGUGAAAGCGGGGGAUCGCAAGACCUCGCGCAAUUGGAGCGGCCGAUGUCAGAUUAGGUAGUUGGUGGGGUAAAGGCCUACCAAGCCGACGAUCUGUAGUUGGUCCGAGAGGACGACCAGACUCACUGGGACUGAGACACGGCCCAGACUCCGACGGGGUGCAGCAGUGGGGAAUUUUGGACAAUGGGCGCAAGCCUGAUCCAGCAAUGCCGCGUGCAGGAAGAAGGCCUUCGGGUUGUAAACUGCUUUUGUCAGGGAAGAAAUCCUCUGGGUUAAUACCCCGGGGGGAUGACGGUACCUGAAGAAUAAGCACCGGCUAACUACGUGCCAGCCGCCGCCGUAAUAC